rnacentral:rRNA from 1 species
UACGAAGGGGCUAGCGUUGCUCGGAAUCACUGGGCGUAAAGGGGUGCGUAGGCGGGUCUUUAAGUCAGGGGUGAAAUCCUGGAGCUCAACUCCAGAACUGCCUUUGAUACUGAGGAUCUUGAGUUCGGGAGAGGUGAGUGGAACUGCGAGUGUAGAGGUGAAAUUCGUAGAUAUUCGCAAGAACACCAGUGGCGAAGGCGGCUCACUGGCCCGAUACUGACGCUGAGGCACGAAAGCGUGGGGAGCAAACAGGA